rnacentral:sRNA from 1 species
AAAUAAAUGAAAUUUCUCGCAGACCGAUCAUAAACCGAUUUUACAUUAAAUAAAGUUGGUUUACAUUGUAUGUCCUAAAAAUAAAAUGAACUAAACCGCUGACGGAUUUAUCUGUAUCUACCGCUGCAACCUACACUCUUUAUAAACAAAUUUAUUAUUUUUGACACAUCUUAUAAUCUAAUUGAUU